UGGUGCUGCGGGUGUUUGGUCUUUCUCGGGAUCACGGAGUCCUAUCUUUGACACAGCAGACUGAAUGGAUAUCAUGUGUUUGCGGUGACCUCUCGUCGCGCUGUCCAACAUCUGCCUGUCAAAGUGUCAGAAAUCUGCUGAUCCAGUCUGUUGAUGCGCUCGCCGCAGCAGUCGCACAGAGGACUCAUUGCAACGAGUUAGCUUCUAGCUAGCUAGCGAAACAGCAACAAGCCGCCGUGUCAACACGUGGGUGUUUCUCUAACCGGAAGCAACAACUUUGACUUCCGGUUGGCCGGCCAUGGGUUUUUCAGGCACCCACGUAGGAUACGUGAAGAUCUGAGAAAGGUUCUUCUAACGGACAGCUUGUAUUGUGUAUAUUACAUGAAUAGAUGUCCUCCUCAUCACCUGGGCCCAAGUCCUUAAUCAGGACCUGGUCAAGGACCUUUCUGCUCUGUGACUCUGUGAAGAGGGUGUCCUCCUGAGGAGGAGCUGCAGUCGGAACAGGGGCUUGAGUCAGGACUGGAACUGCAUCUGGAGCUGAAUAUGGAACAGAGACUGGAGCGAAAUCUGCAAGUUUGACGGGAAAUGAAACCGGAGCUGAGGGUGAAAAAAGGUCUGGAGUCGGAAGAACGGGAGCGGGAGGAGUCGGAGAAGCAGCAAAGACGGGGCUUUGGAUGGAUCCGAGCAGUGGCCGAGGUGCGGGGGCAGCGGGGACAGCGGGGACAGAUGACGGUCGUGAUUCCCCAUCCAGCACAGGGGAUAAAGAUUCUGGGGUUUGAUACGGGACGACCUCAGCAGGUUCGGGCACCACCGCCGCAGGAGCUUCCUGAGGCACUGCUGCCUCCUCCUGAUUGACACAGAUCUCCGGCGCGGGCUCACUCUUCUUGGGCCUCCCUCUCCGCUUCGUGCCACUCUCAGCCCUCGGCCUUUUCCUUUGACUCUCCACCCUGAGAGAGUUCAACAAAUCCAAUCAACCUCCCAACAGUGGGGCAUUGAUACAGCUUUCUGUGAUACUUCUGCAAAGCUAAUAGUACAAAGUCCUUGACCUGGAUCUGGGGCGUCAAUAGAAGCACUAAAGCAACCUUUGGUUUCCUCUUGCUCCAUAUUCAACAUAGAGCAGAGGGUUGAUAAGCAGCUGGAGUGCUGAUAAAGAUUUGACAGCGCAAGUACAGUGUUGUAUAGAAGCAGUCCUAAUAAAGCCUUAUUAAACAUUA